UUCUUCAAUAGCAUAGUCCAAGGUUACAUGCUAGUGUCAGGCGUUAUGUUUAUGUGACUUUACAGGUAAGUAUAUAUUUUUUAUAAUAACCUUCUCUUCUAUACCCCAUCGAUUGUUUGGACUGACCACCAGACCACCCCAGGAGCACACAGGAACCACACAGACAGUGACACCUAUGGAAGGCAAAACAACUCGGUCUCUCUCGGAGAAUUUAUGUUAUGUAACAUAUUUACCCUUGUGUUAGUUACUGCAAUGAUGUUAUCUGAUGACUUCAUCAAAAGUUCACAGGGUGCCUGUCCAGAUGGGUCCGCUGUAGCACAGUAGGGAGAAACAGUUCCUGUCGAUAACGUUCCCUGUAGAAUCCCCAGUGAAGAUCAGUAACUUUGCACAGCCAAGACUGGAACCUGCACUCCCCUUGUUGACUCUCCCUGCACUCUACCUGCCUAUACCGGGUGAACCACAUGAGGACAGCUACAAUGAGCUGACUUCUUGAGCAGAGUUGGAUUUGAAUCCAGACCUCCAGAGGAGUGAAGGCAUCUCUGGUUAUAUAAAGAGGAUAAAACUGAGAACAGCAACAACUGAACAUAUUGAAAAUGGCAAGGAGGAAUACGGAGAACCCAUUGAAAGGAAUGCCAUUCUAAGGAGCAAAUAUCUUCAGAUUACAUUUUCUUUGUUUGUGUUUAUGCCCCUUACCUAUUUGGGAUGUUUGCUAUCGUUCCUAGUGUUUCUUAUUGUUAUUACCCAAAUACAAUAGUAUGUUACCUGUGA